GUGCUUGCUUCAGCAGCACAUAUAUAAAAUUGGAACGAUACAGAGAAGAUUAGCAUGGCUCCUAUGAAAGGAUGACACGUGAAUUUGUGAAGCAUUCCAUAUUUUU
ensembl:snRNA U6 U6 spliceosomal RNA